rnacentral:lncRNA from 1 species
UUGGCAGUGAACAAUCUGAGUAUGUGCAUAUUGAGUCAGUGUUUUUUUUUUAUUUUUAAUGAGUGUUUUCCUCUUAUUCAAUCUUCUGGAAUUCUAAUUGAUUAUUGGACAAUCAAUUACAGACUACCAUAACCAUCAACCUUUUUCCAACUAUUUAGUGCCAGCUUUAGGACAAUUAGUUAUGAAUAUAAUUUAAAAUCAAG